rnacentral:rRNA from 1 species
UACGUAGGGGGCAAGCGUUGUCCGGAUUUAUUGGGCGUAAAGAGCGUGUAGGCGGCCACACAGGUCAGCUGUGAAAACUCGAGGCUCAACCUCGAGACGUCGGUUGAAACCGUAUGGCUAGAGUCCGGAAGAGGAGAGUGGAAUUCCCCGGUGGUAGCGGUGAAAAUGCGCAGAUAUCGGGAAGAACACCCGUGGCGAAGGCGGCUCUCUGGCCGGCACUGACCGCUGAGGAGCGAAAGCGUGGGAGC